GUGAGGAAUAUUGCGCAAUGGAGGCAACUCUGACGCAGCCAUGCCGCGUGCAGGAAGAAGGCGCUACGCGUUGUAAACUGCUUUUAACCGGGAAGAAACCCCAGGACGUGUCCUGGGUUGACGGUACCGGAGGAAUAAGCACCGGCUAACUUCGUGCCAGCAGCCGCGGUAAUACGAAGGGUGCAAGCGUUAUCCGGAUUCAUUGGGUUUAAAGGGUGCGUAGGCGGAGCGUUAAGUCAGUGGUGAAAUCCUGCAGCUUAACUGUAGACUUGCCAUUGAUACUGGCGCUCUUGAGUGCGCUUGAAGUGGGCGGAAUGUGCCGUGUAGCGGUGAAAUGCUUAGAUAUGGCACAGAACACCAAUUGCGAAGGCAGCUCACUAAGGCGAUACUGACGCUGAGGCACGGAAGCGUGGGGAUCGAACAGGAUUAGAUACCCCGGUAGUCC
rnacentral:rRNA from 1 species